rnacentral:rRNA from 1 species
UACGGAGGGAGCUAGCGUUGUUCGGAAUUACUGGGCGUAAAGCGCACGUAGGCGGCUUUGUAAGUUAGAGGUGAAAGCCUGGAGUUCAACUCCAGAACUGCCUUUAAGACUGCAUCGCUUGAAUCCAGGAGAGGUGAGUGGAAUUCCGAGUGUAGAGGUGAAAUUCGUAGAUAUUCGGAAGAAACACCAGUGGCGAAGGCGGCUCACUGGACUGGUAUUGACGCUGAGG